rnacentral:misc_RNA from 1 species
UUUUUUUAAUCACUAAUUAGCUCAGAAGAAUUUAGCCCUCAAGUAACAGUCACCACAACAGUGUUCUGUGAGAGGGAAACCUAACUGGAUAUUUAUAUUAGAUCUAGGAGGCUAGUGGGCAGCUUAUUUAGGGAUGAUAUAACACCACACUGUUUAUCAGCUUAUACCUAAUCCUUUGAAGCCUUAUAAGCAUGACGACAAGGGUGAGAAGAAAUAAUUGAAAUAUUUAGUCUUUUCACUUGGUGGUCUCAGGAGAUCCAUAGCCAUAAGGGUUCUUGCUGGCCCAGUUCCAUUGAUCCCUGCACAUCUCAUCAAUGCCAUACUUUGCCUUCCAAUUCAAUUCACGUUCUGCCUUGUUUGUUGAUGCAUAAACAAUUUCAGCGUCACCAGGACGCCUUCCAGCCAUUACAAGAGGAAUUUUCUUUCCAGAUGCCUUCUCAAAUGCUGUAACCAUCUCCAAAACUGAUGUUCCUUUUCCUGUUCCCAAAUUAUAUACGUUAUAUACCUCACAACCUAUUUUGGCAUCAGAAAGUUUACUCAAUGCAGCAAUGUGACCAUCUGCUAAGUCGACAACAUGAAUAUAGUCACGCACCCCGGUACCAUCCUUGGUUGAAUAGUCAUUUCCAAAGACUGUCAGAUGAGGACGCCUGCCAACAGCAACCUGCUGCACGAAGGGCAUGAGAUUGUUUGGAAUUCCACGGGGAUCCUCACC